GAUGAACGCUGACAGAAUGCUUAACACAUGCAAGUCAACUGUGGCGGACGGGUGAGUAACGCUUAAAUAAAUUACCUUACAGAUAGGGUCAACAUUUGGAAACGAAUGCUAAUACCCGGUAAUGUGGGAGAGUUUUGCGUCACAUUAGCUAGUUGGAGCGGUAACGCCUCAACAAGCCGAUGAUGGGUAGCCGGCCUGAAAGGGUGAUCGGCCACAAGGGGAAUGGAACACGGCGCUUAAUGCGAAGGCAGGAAGCAGUGGGGAAUAGUGGACAAUGGACCAAAGUCUGAUCCGGCAAUUCUGUGUGCAGAAUGAAGUAUUCGGAAUGUAAAUUACUUUCAGUUAGGAAGUGGAACCAACAGAAGAAGAGACAGCUAAAGACGUGCCAGCAGCCGCGGUAAUGC
rnacentral:rRNA from 1 species